UACGUAGGGGACAAGCGUUGUCCGGAUUUAUUGGGCGUAAAGAGCGUGUAGGCGGCCAAGCAGGUCCGCUGUGAAAACUCGAGGCUCAACCUCGAGAGGUCGGUGGAAACCGUUUGGCUAGAGUCCGGAAGAGGAGAGUGGAAUUCCCGGUGUAGCGGUGAAAUGCGCAGAUAUCAGGAGGAACACCAAUAGCGAAGGCAGCUCGCUGGGACGGUACUGACGCUGAGACGCGAAAGCGUGGGGAGCGAACAGG
rnacentral:rRNA from 1 species